ACACUCAUUCAGCAACAGCAGCACCACCACCACCACCAGCAGCAGCGGACAGCCCUGAGGAGCAUGGGGCCUGCUGGGACUCGUCUCCUGCUAUGCUUCAGCUCCUGCCCAAUCACUUACCUGUGCCAGGAGAAGCCUCUGGACAUGCCUGGGCAGCCUCUGGACAUGCACUGCUCCCAUUCCUCGCUGAGAGGGCAUCUCCCCGAGUGCCUCUCCAUCCCAGUAGACUCUCCAGAUGUGCCCAGUCCUCAACUGGUGUGGCCUCACCAGAGAGACUCAGACCAAACAGGCCUCCACAGCCUCUCUCUAGACACUUUCUGGGAAACCACAGUGGAAUACAAAAGGUCCUCAUUUGCCCUGAACCCUGGGAAGCCCUGUGGCAUUGGUUCAUGAGUGCUGUGGUUGGUUAUUUGGAACUUAAUUCUCUUGGUAUUUGCCACUUCCCAGUUGUCCCCUUUACUGUUCACAGUCCCCACCUAUAAUCCUCGGCUUCCUGGCACUUCCGGAGCCCAUAUUAACGUACCAAUUUUUUGUACCCCAUUUAGGGCACCAACUGUUCUGAUCUCUUGAAGAGCUCCUCAGGCAACCUUCUGUUUCUAGCAAGAUGAUACACCCAAGCCUUGAUGACAAGGCUUGGCUCUCAACCUCCUUGCUCCCCACCUCCUGUGAAAUACACAAAGAAAUUCAGUGAUCAUCGGGGAUGCUCUGGUCCAAACACUACCUGCCAGCCAGACGCAGGAGAUGGAUGGCUCAGCAGUAAUCGUGCUGCUUGAGCUUGGUGUCUAAUGGGGACAGUAGUGACAGGAAGUUCACAGGGACUGGAAGACAUGAGUUCUCUGAGGGAAAGGAAGGUGAAGCCUGGUGCUUAGGACCCUCAGGAGACCAUAGGAUGUGAGAAGGCUCAAGACACCCAGAGGUGGGGUCAGAAACAGGGCAAAGGAGACCAAGCAUGGGAGAGCUGCAGUGGACGUGUACAGACAGGAGAAGCAGGCCCUAAAGAAUCCCUGAGGCGGCAGAGAGGCUGGGCUGUGGAACUUUUUAAUUACUUUGCAUUAGGGGACUGUAGAGACCCAGAAGCCCACCCUUCCCCUCCCCUCAUCAGCUUAGCCCCAACAUAUGGUGGCUACCAAAGUAGUUAAAUCGGCUCUUGGUAGAAAAGGAAAGAGAUUCCUCCCAGGCUCUUCCCAGGGUCCACGGCCACACUCCAGGAGGGCUCAACUCCAGGGCAAGGCAGCUGGGACAGCAGGCAGCUGAAGGAGGACUAUUACUGCACCUUAGGGAAGAGUGCAGUGGCGAGUGGGGAGGACUCUGCUGGGACCCGGGGGUCAUGUGCAUUCCCAUUUAGUUGAGCUCUGCUUAAUCCGGGCCUAGGCUCACAGUAAUGGGGAACGAGGAGAGGCUCCCAUCAGAGACCAAGAAGAUGACAGACUCUCUGUAAAGGCUGUCAGAGGGGUCUGCAUGACCAACCACACCUGCUCCUGUUCCUUUGGGGCUCUUGUGACCUCCCUGUCUUCUUGUGAGAUCUUAUGUUCCUCCAACCCUGAGAGCUACAAACCAAUCUCCGGAAUAAAAAAAUCUGUCCCUCGU
ensembl:lincRNA Gm10505 predicted gene 10505